rnacentral:rRNA from 1 species
AGAGUUUGAUCCUGGCUCAGGACGAACGCUGGCGGCGUGCCUAAUACAUGCAAGUCGUACGCUUCUUUUUCCACCGGAGCUUGCUCCACCGGAAAAAGAAGAGUGGCGAACGGGUGAGUAACACGUGGGUAACCUGCCCAUCAGAAGGGGAUAACACUUGGAAACAGGUGCUAAUACCGUAUAACAAUCGAAACCGCAUGGUUUUGAUUUGAAAGGCGCUUUCGGGUGUCGCUGAUGGAUGGACCCGCGGUGCAUUAGCUAGUUGGUGAGGUAACGGCUCACCAAGGCCACGAUGCAUAGCCGACCUGAGAGGGUGAUCGGCCACAUUGGGACUGAGACACGGCCCAAACUCCUACGGGAGGCAGCAGUAGGGAAUCUUCGGCAAUGGACGAAAGUCUGACCGAGCAACGCCGCGUGAGUGAAGAAGGUUUUCGGAUCGUAAAACUCUGUUGUUAGAGAAGAACAAGGAUGAGAGUAACUGUUCAUCCCUUGACGGUAUCUACCCAGAAAGCCACGGCUAACUACGUGCCAGCAGCCGCGGUAAUAC